rnacentral:rRNA from 1 species
GUUCGGUAAAUAAAGAAUUUGCCUGGCGGCUGUAGCGCGGUGGUCCCACCUGACCCCAUGCCGAACUCAGAAGUGAAACGCCGUAGCGCCGAUGGUAGUGUGGGGUCUCCCCAUGCGAGAGUAGGGAACUGCCAGGCAUCAAA